CACGUAGGGUGCGAGCGUUGUCCGGAAUUAUUGGGCGUAAAGAGCUCGUAGGCGGUGUGUCGCGUCGGCCGUGAAAACCUGCAGCUUAACUGUGGGCUUGCGGUCGAUACGGGCAUCACUGGAGUUCGGCAGGGGAGACUGGAAUUCCUGGUGUAGCGGUGAAAUGCGUAGAUAUCUGGAGGAACACCGGUGGCGAAGGCGGCAUCCUGGACCAAUACUGACGCUGAGGAGCGAAAGCGUGGGGAGCAAACAGG
rnacentral:rRNA from 1 species